rnacentral:misc_RNA from 1 species
GAAAUUACCUUUUAAUUUUUUGUUGUGUAAAAAACAAAUUGAAAAAAAGAAAAAGAAGUAUACGAUAUAUGAAAAAGGCGUCGCCUCUCGCCUAGCGCCUUUCUCUCUGGGGUGCUCGCCUCAUGCAAUCCAAGUGAGGCACUAGAGGGUCACCUCGCCCGGCGCCUUGGAGCGCCUUUAACAACAUUGACCCAAAUAAUCGUGUACUAUCAACUUGAAAGGACUUCUAAUUGGUUCAAGAAUCCCAAUUUGAUUAUAUUGUUGUUUCAUUAUCAAUAUAAGAACCAUUCUAUAAUUUAAUUGUAUGACAAGAAAGUACACCCUUGCUAAUAAUUUUUGUUGCAUUUUGUUUAUGGGAUUGUUAUGUCAACUCAAAGUUGUAGAUUUGACAUCUAUGUACUGAAUGUUGCAGGUCCCAGUAGCUUUGACAUCCUUCAAGGUCAUUCUAAGGCAACCAUGCUUCUAAUAUGUAACAAU